rnacentral:lncRNA from 1 species
ACCUUGAAAGAUAUACAGAAGGCCACAGGUGCCCACUCAUUUCUGAGCACAUAAAGCAUCUUCGGUACUUGAGCAAGGCGCAUGUCCAAGGGACCAGAUCCUGACUGGAUCUUAUGCACCGUCAUGCUCUCCCAUGGUACAUAGAAGUCAGAAACUGCAGCUGCAAGAUAGAACAUAGCACUAGGCCUGUAAGAAAAUACCAGAAGAUGUGACAAGAACUGAAAUUAGAUGACAUGUUAUAUAUCUACCAUUUCUUGUAUUGAAACAAAAGAGGGAGGAGACAAAAAACAAAUACAGAAAUUCACGAAGAUUGAACUGAAUCCAACCGUUUCAAACUGCAAAUUCAACCAAAACAAUGCAAGAAGAAAUGAAAUGAUUACCAUGCUCUCCCAUGGUAC